rnacentral:rRNA from 1 species
UACGUAGGGUGCGAGCGUUAAUCGGAAUUACUGGGCGUAAAGCGUGCGCAGGUGGUUUCUUAAGUCUGAUGUGAAAGCCCACGGCUCAACCGUGGAGGGUCAUUGGAAACUGGGAGACUUGAGUGCAGAAGAGGAAAGUGGAAUUCCAUGUGUAGCGGUGAAAUGCGUAGAGAUAUGGAGGAACACCAGUGGCGAAGGCGACUUUCUGGUCUGUAACUGACACUGAGGCGCGAAAGCGUGGGGAGCAAACAGGAUUAGAAACCUCCGGAGU